rnacentral:rRNA from 1 species
UACGAAGGGUGCAAGCGUUACUCGGAAUUACUGGGCGUAAAGCGUGCGUAGGCGGUUUGUUACGUCUGAUGUGAAAGCCCUGGGCUCAACCUGGGAAUGGCAUUGGAUACUGGCGACCUAGAGUGCGGUAGAGGGGUGUGGAAUUCCCGGUGUAGCAGUGAAAUGCGUAGAUAUCGGGAGGAACAUCUGUGGCGAAGGCGACACCCUGGACCAGCACUGACACUGAGGCACGAAAGCGUGGGGAGCAAACAGG